rnacentral:lncRNA from 1 species
AACCCAGAGCUCACUGACUCAGUCAGACUGGCAGGUGUUCAAUGCAGUCUGGCUCUGACUGACUGCCUAUUUUUGGGAUUACAGACAUACUACAUGACCUGGCUUUUUAUGGGCAUGUCCUUAUAUUUGUUCAACAAAGCAUGUUCUGACUGAGCCAUAUCUGUAUCCUUACAGAGUAUCCAUCUUUUCUCUUAUACCAGCAUUUAGCUGACUUGCAUUUUGUUCACAGAAUGAAAAUAAUCACUUGGCCUCAGAACUCCAUUAUCCUCAGCUUCCUUUCUUAUUUUCUACAUUCACACACUCCCUCUAGCGAUAGUCAGUAUUAGAGGAUGCUUAGUGCAUGUGGAGUCCUGUUACUUCUAAAGACACAGCAGUAAGUAAGAUACUUUUUGCUUUGGUCCUUACUCUAAGAAGUGCUUCCUUCACCAGGACAGUGUUUGUGAAAGGCCUCAAAAUAUUACCUCUAAGCAAGUGCAAUGAUUCCAUGAGACUUUCUUUAUGAUUCUUAGACAAAAGUCAGUGUCUAUCUCUGAGCCAUAUUUGGAUGCCUAUCUUAUUCAGAUUUAUGUUACACCUAGCUGAAGAUAUGCUCUUCUUUCUCUAGAUAUUAUAAACAUUGGCACAUCACACUAUGGCCUACACAUAGCAUAGAACUGAAAAACUGUUAACAUGGUGAUUGUAUAUAUUUUGUGUAUUAUUUUAUAAAUAAUAAUAUUGAACAUUUCUAUAUAUUUAUAUGUGUGUGGCAGAGAGAGAGAGAGAGAGAGAGAGAGAGAGAGAGAGAGAGAGAGAUGGAGGGAGAGAGAGAGAAGGAGGGAGGGAGGGAGAGAGAGAGAGAGAGAGAGAGAGAGAGAGAGAGAAGCAAGAGAGAAAAAAUUCAUGUGGAUUUGUGAUCUGUGGUUUGGGCAUGAAAUGUCCCUGUGUCUUCAUUUUUUUGAACACUUGCUUACUGGUUGGUGCUUGAUAUUUGGGAUGUUGUGGAACCUUUAUCAGCUAAAGUCCCAUAGAAAGGAAGUUCUAUAAGUCACAGGAGGUAGGUCUUGAGUGUUUAUAAGCUCACCCACACUUCCUGUUCACUCUCCACUUCCCUAGUAGGGACAGAAUGUGAAACAAUGCAUACAUCAAGCCUCCUGUAGUUGCUACCACAUCUUCUCUGUCACGAUAGAUUUCAGAAUUGUGAUAUAUAAUAGUCUUUUGUCCCUUAAGUUGCCUCUGUCAGAGGUUUAUUUUUUGUUAUUUUUUAAAUCACAGCAACAAGCCAGAAUCUAAAACAUACACUUGCUUCAUCCUAUGGUUGAAUUUGCAGGAAGGAGUGCAUUGCUUGAAGAGGAUACAAGAGAUUAAUCAUGAGAAUAGUUUCUCUGAUGUUCUCAAGAUAGUUUGUAAGUGAACACAGGGUGGGAGGCAUUAGACUCAGAGGUGAAGAGCUGGAGGCAGAGCUCACUCUUCUGAGUGUUUGUCUAGCAUGCAUGAAGCCCUGAAUUCUACUGCUAGCAUGGCAUAAACUAGUCAGAGUGCUGGACACCUUUACUCCUGGUACCUGGCAAAUGGAUGUAGAAACAUCACACGUUCCAGGUCAACUUUGAUUACGUAUAGUAAGUUUGAGACCAGCCUGUGAUAUUUACGACUCUUAGAAAAAGAGAUUUAAAGAUGAAUUUAAGACCAUCAUUACUAAGGAAAAUGGCCAUAUAAUUUAAAGAAAAUGCCAAAGACCAUACUUGAAAAGGAUAUGUAGUGGUGUAAGUGAUGCACGGCAGAAAAUAGGAUUGAAAAUCAGAUACAGUUUACUAUUCCUUUUGACAUGCUGAGUUAGGCAGAGUAUAAAGCUGUGAGCAUGUAUGAAAUCAAAGCACCAAUUUCUACACCUAAGGCUCAGGGAAUAUCAAUGGAGAGGGAAUGGAACAAUUGUGAGAGCCAAAGGGUCAGGAAGUUACCUGAGAAACUGUUUCCUAAAAAUGACAGGGAAGCUACAUGCAUGAUUCAUCAACAGUGGGGCUCCUAAAACAAGACAUGAAUAAUGAUAAUACCAAUAUACAUGCUAAUGUGGAAAGGGCAGAUCUGAUAGGAAACAAAUUCCCUUCUGGAAAAAACAUUAAAGAAAGUAAUGACUGCUGAGAGAGGUAGUUAGUUUUUUCUAGGAAUGAGUUCCCUAAUUGGCUUUCUAACAGCAAAUGGUCAGCCCAGAACUCAUUUGCAAACAAGCAAAAUAGACAAAAUCAGCAGGUUGUAUUAAUUUAUUUAUGCAUAUAAUAAUAAUAGUAAUAAUAAU